GACGAACGCUGGCGGCGUGCUUAACACAUGCAAGUCGAACGGUGAAGCGCCUUCCUUUUUGGUGGGUGUGGAUGAGUGGCGAACGGGUGAGUAACACGUGAGUAACCUGCCCCCUUCUUCUGGAUAACCGCAUGAAAGUGUGGCUAAUCCGGGAUAUUCUGGGUCUGUCGCAUGAUGGGUCUGGGAAAGAUAUUGUUUCGGUGGGGGAUGGGCUCGCGGCCUAUCAGCUUGUUGGUGGGGUGAUGGCCUACCAAGGCGGUGACGGGUAGCCGGCCUGAGAGGGUGGACGGUCACACUGGGACUGAGACACGGCCCAGACUCCUACGGGAGGCAGCAGUGGGGAAUAUUGCACAAUGGGCGCAAGCCUGAUGCAGCGACGCCGCGUGAGGGAUGGAGGCCUUCGGGUUGUGAACCUCUUUCGCCAGUGAAGCAGGCCUGCCUCGUUUGUGGGUGGGUUGACGGUAGCUGGAUAAGAAGCGCCGGCUAACUACGUG
rnacentral:rRNA from 1 species